UACGUAGGUGACAAGCGUUGUCCGGAUUUACUGGGCGUAAAGAGCGCGCAGGCGGUCGUUCAAGUCGAGUGUGAAAGCCCCCCGGCUCAACUGGGGAGGGUCAUUCGAUACUGAUCGACUCGAAGGCAGGAGAGGGAAGUGGAAUUCCCGGUGUAGUGGUGAAAUUCGUAGAUAUGGGGGAGGAACACCGGUGGCGAAGGCGGCCACCUGGCCGAGUACUGACGCUGAGACGCGAAAGCGUGGGGAGCAAACAGG
rnacentral:rRNA from 1 species